rnacentral:rRNA from 1 species
UACGAAGGGGGCUAGCGUUGCUCGGAAAUCACUGGGCGUAAAAGCGCACGUAGGCGGAUUGUUAAGUCAGGGGUGAAAUCCUGGAGCUCAACUCCAGAACUGCCUUUGAUACUGGCGAUCUCGAGUCCGGGAGAGGUGAGUGGAACUGCGAGUGUAGAGGUGAAAUUCGUAGAUAUUCGCAAGAACACCAGUGGCGAAGGCGGCUCACUGGCCCGGUACUGACGCUGAGGUGCGAA